rfam:Dipodomys ordii contig_44003, whole genome shotgun sequence.
GGGAAAGUGGCUCAGUGGUAGAGUGCUUGCCUUGCAUGCAUGAGGCCCCGGGUUCGAUUCCUCAGCACCA